rnacentral:rRNA from 1 species
AUGAAAGUCAAAGAACACUACCUGGCGGGUAGAAAAGUAGUUCUUAAAUCUGGUAACUUGGCUAGAGUGUGGGAUGAUUGUAUCGAUGGUGAAAAUCCCUUGCGUGUCCAAUUUCCUGAGCUUUACAGCAUCUGUAACGACCAAGGGGUCACGGUUGCAAAGUUUAAAAAUGAUGUAGAUGACAGCUUUUUUCGAAGGCGCCUCCAUCCCCCUCUGCUGGAGCAGUGGAGGACUAUGAGUAAUAUAGUAUCCCUGUGGCCGACCUCUGACGAACCUGAUCAAAUUGUGUGGUCCUUGGGGAGAAAGAACAAGUUCUCUACCAAGUCUAUAUAUGAAUACCUGGAACGGAACUUGGCUGGGUGUAAUUACAAGUGGAUUUGGCAAAGCCAAAAUCCCGCUUAA